UCGAUCUCAAAUCAGGUAGGACUACCCGCUGAACUUAAGCAUAUCAAUAAGCGGAGGAAAAGAAACUAACAAGGAUUCCCCUAGUAACUGCGAGUGAAGCGGGAAAAGCUCAAAUUUAAAAUCUGGCGUGCCUCUGGCCGUCCGAGUUGUAGUCUGGAGAAGCGUCUUCCGUGUUGGACCGUGUAUAAGUCUCUUGGAACAGGGCGUCAUAGAGGGUGAGAAUCCCGUCUUUGACACGGACUACCAAUGCUUUGUGAUGCGCUCUCAAAGAGUCGAGUUGUUUGGGAAUGCAGCUCAAAAUGGGUGGUAAAUUCCAUCUAAAGCUAAAUAUNGGCGAGAGACCGAUAGCGAACAGGUACCGUGAGGGAAAGAUGAAA
rnacentral:rRNA from 1 species